AUACAGAGGGUGCGAGCGUUAAUCGGAAUUACUGGGCGUAAAGCGCGCGUAGGCGGCUACUUAAGUCAGAUGUGAAAUCCCCGGGCUCAACCUGGGAACUGCAUCUGAUACUGGGUAGCUAGAGUUUAGGAGAGGGAAGUAGAAUUUCAGGUGUAGCGGUGAAAUGCAUAGAGAUCUGAAGGAAUACCAGUGGCGAAGGCGGCUUCCUGGCCUAGAACUGACGCUGAGGUGCGAAAGCGUGGGUAGCAAACGGGAUUAGAAACCCCAGUAGUCC
rnacentral:rRNA from 1 species